GCCUUCGUGGUGUAGUGGUUAGCACGCUCGGCGCGUAUUCGAGAGAUCCGUGGUUCGAGUCCCGGCGAGGACA
rnacentral:tRNA from 1 species